rnacentral:rRNA from 1 species
AACGAACGCUGGCGGCAUGCCUAACACAUGCAAGUCGAACGAGACCUUCGGGUCUAGUGGCGCACGGGUGCGUAACGCGUGGGAACCUGCCCUUAGGUUCGGAAUAACUCCCCGAAAGGGGUGCUAAUACCGGAUAAUGUCUUCGGACCAAAGAUUUAUCGCCUUUGGAUGGGCCCGCGUUGGAUUAGCUAGUUGGGAGGGUAAAAGCCUACCAAGGCGACGAUCCAUAGCUGGUCUGAGAGGAUGAUCAGCCACACUGGGACUGAGACAAGGCCCAGACUCCGACGGGAGGCAGCAGUGGGGAAUAUUGGACAAUGGGCGAAAGCCUGAUCCAGCAAUGCCGCGUGAGUGAUGAAGGCCUUAGGGUUGUAAAGCUCUUUUACCCGGGAUGAUAAUGACAGUACCGGGAGAAUAAGCUCCGGCUAACUCCGU